rnacentral:rRNA from 1 species
CAUCGACAUCUUGAACGCAUAUUGCGGUCCCUGGUCACUCCAGGGACCACGUCUGUCUCAGGGUCGGAUAUGCUAGCAAUCGCAGUAUUAAUUUAUUGCGCAUUGGGCUUUGGCAGUGGUCGGAUGGGCAACUAUCACGACGUGCUCCCUGGCCUUAAGUAUAGAAAAGUGAAGCAGAGCGCAUAUCAGCCCACUUGUGCCGGACUGGUUUCGAGUUUGAUCGCGGUGCUUGGUUAAAGGUAGACUCCUAGUCACAAAUCAACGCUCCGUGUGAAUCCAGGAAAGAGGGCCGAGAGCUUUGAGCUUGUUUCUCUCGCGUCCCUAAAUAAAUGAGCUAGGCCUGGAUAUCGCACAAAAGACACAAAUGUGUGGAGCGUAAAUAUAUAUCAAAAACUAACAGGCAGUGAGUGAGUCUUACCACAUAUAUAUAAAAAGAAACCAAGUUUUAAACCGUGUGUAACGAGACUCUUGGUCUGGCUCGUGGUGGUGCUGGAGUGCGUUGUAUCUGUUGGGGCAUCUGUCGAUCUCCUCGCUGUAGUGGCGGGUGGUAGGUUGACGAGUCCUUAAAUGGAGAGUAUAUAAAGGCUCUUCGUACGACCUGA